UGCAAAAAAAUUGCGGAGAAUGGUCAUAUGGAAAUUCGUCAUUUUAAAAGCUGUAACAGUAAAACUUUGUAUUUAGAUACUUAAUGAGGAACGAAAGAACAUGGUCUACUUUUUAUUGCAAAAAAAUAGGGGAGAGUGGGUAAAAAUAGGGGAUGAAUGGUCAUAUGGAAAUUCGUCAUUUUUAAAGCUGUAACAGUGAAAUUUUGUAUUUAGACACUUAAUGAGGAGCGAAAGAACAUAGGCUACUUUUUAAUAAAAAGGGUAGAAGGCGUAGUAUGUUUGAUAGAGGAGAUUAAUGUUUGCUUGAAAAUUCGUCAUUUUCGUUAAUACGUUUCGAUUCUUAUUUAAAUACACAUAUACUUAUUUAAAUCUCCAAUAUCCCUACUACCAUACUAAUGUUAUGAAUGCGAAAGCACGAAUGUUUUUUUUUUUUUGGAAUAUAACAACGAAACAAUGUAUUUUUUUAUUGAUAGGCAAUAUAUAGGAAAUUAAAGGAUAAUAAUAUAGAUAACCUUGGUUACUUUUCAUCAUGAUUAUAAAAUGAUGAAUCGGCGGUCGUGGUUUCUUUGGAAUACAUAUCUUUAAAAAUGCUAACAGUAACAUAUUCUCAAGUAAUUCACAUUUUAGAUGACAUACGGCAGCAUUUUGACCAUUAACACCUCUACGCGGACGAAGUCGCGGGCAAAAGCUAGAUUCGAUAAAUUUUCAUUUGUACAUGUCAAAUAUUUGUUGUUUCUAAAUUCAAAUUCUGUAAAUAAUGAUUGACAUUUAUGCAUAAACUAUGAAAAGGGUGAAUAAACAAUUGUCUGUAUUUUUUUUAAUCUAUUGAAAAUGUUGAAAAGUGCAUUAAGCAUGAAUAGAAAUUCCUCAAAUAUUAAUUAUGUGUGCGUUCAGAAAGAAUGACAAAUUAUCAACAGUUACGCGUGUGUUCAGAAAUUUAUUAUGUGUAAAUUAAAGUUUCUAUUCACGUUUUCGAACAAACGAUGCUCUUUCAAUAUAGUCUAUUGGUGUGAAUGACAUUGACAUUCGUAUUGCGCGUUUUUUAAAAUAUGCAAAAUUAAAUGUAUAUUUUUCAAUAUUUCUGAGAGAUUAUCUUAAUAUUUCUUCGAGUUUUAAAAACUAAGAAGAUUUUUAUUUGCUAAUAAGUGUUUGUUAAUCAAGGUAAGUUCACAUCUUCAUUAUUGAUUUUUAGUAACUUUUGGUGACUACACAAUACUACAAUUUGGUAUACACGGUUAUGCAGAAAAUGUAUGAGAGCUUUUUAUUUUCAGUUGGAAUUUCGGUUUUAACAAUGCUACCAACCAGAUGUACAAGCUUAGGCCGCAGAACUCGAAAUACGGCAAGUCAAAGAAAUAUAAGAGCAAAUCAAACUGAUGAGCAUCGCGAAGCGCGAAAUGAACUUGAACUGAAUCGAUAUCAAGAUAGAAAUGUUGUGUUUAAUCCCCACAAAGCUGCAUUCAGUUAUAAUGUGGCAGUUGAUUACAGUUCAGAGCAAAUUGUUACUAUUGGACUAAUGAACAUUGUGUGUCCACAUUGGGAUUGAAAUAAAAAAAUGAAGCCUCUGGAUUGUGUUGCGCCAGCGGCCAAGUCAAAUUGACGCCAUUGGUACCGCCACCAGAGCCACUACAUUCAUUGGUUCAUUUUUUGACUCAUAUCCAGCAGUACAAUAAUUGCUUUCAAAUGACAUCAUUUGGGGCAACAAAAGUUAUACGAGACAAUUUUUUGCCUACUUUUAGCAAAUUCAGGGAUUCAAAUAUAUCAUCAAACAGGUUCCUUAUUGCCAGUGCCUGUUGAAGACUAUACAUUUUUGCAAAUAUAUUUUAUGGACAAUUCAGCAAGAGAAGUCGAUCAGCGUUGCGCACACAACAACUCAGUAAAGAGAUCCAUUGUGAUGAACAACUUCAAAUAUUUUUCCUUCAACACAAUGAAUUAGUUGCAUUAGACCGAUGUAUUAGACAUUCACAAAUGCAUUAGACCGCAUGCCAUCAGAUAAUCACAAAAUUGUCAUCAGAGCCGAUAAGGCGCCUGCAGGACAGUGAAAUGAUUGAAUCCUAUGAAAUAAACACUGUUAUGAAAAUAUAUUUUGUUUUUUUUUUAAAUUAGUAAAGUCCUUUUCAGGUAUAGUGAGACCAGGAAAUUAUGGAUUCAUUUUUAUAUGGAGGAUAUUUAUAGAUUCCAAUUCAAAUUGAAUAGGGACUCAUACAUAACUCAGCUAUCUAUAUCUAUACAUAUAAUAAAAUCGUAGAAAAGUGCUGUCUGUACAUUGAAAAUAAAAAUAAAAAAAAUAGCAGGGGUUAUUGUUAUGUCGAUGUCGAACACAAAAAUGUAAUUAACUUUUUUUUUGUCUGUUUGUCUGUUUGUCUGUUUGUCUGUUUGUCUGUUUGUCUGUUUGUCUGUUUGUCUGUUUGUCUGUUUGUCUGUUCGUCUGUGCGCGCUAAUCUCAGAAACGGCUGAUCCGAGUUGGAUGCGGUUUUCACGAAUAUAUUGUGGGAUGCUUAAAUUUACAUUUAGUGUUUGUUUCAUGUCAAUCGGUUCAUAAAUAAAAAAGUUAUGUCAAAUUAAAGAAUCACGUCGAACAUUCUAUGCUUAUACCAUUAAUCUCCGCAACUAUUUGACGGAUUUGGUUGAAAUUUGGUACAGAUAUAGUUUAGAACCUUAGAAAGGACAUAGAUAUAUUUUUAUUUCAAAAAUCAAAAAAUAAAAAUAAGAAAUAAAUUAUUUAUAAAUAAUUCUAUGUCGAUCGUUACACGACUUCGGUUCAUGUUAUUGUAUUAAUUUAUCGAAAAAAAGUAAAUAAAUAGUAAAAAGGUAUGAAAAAAAUAAUAUCAAUAUAAUAAAACAUUUAGUACAAAGAAAAUGCUCUAACGGAGUAUAGAUAAUUCUAUGUCGAUCGUUACACGACUUCGGUUCAUGUUAUUGUUUUAAUUCAUCGAAAAAAAGUAAAUAAAUAGUAAAAAGGUAUGAAAAAAAUAAUAUCAAUAUAAUUAAACUUUUAGUACAAAGAAAAUGCCCAAACGGAGUAUAAAUAAAUACAUAAUCCAAGUUGUCUUUAUCCUCGAUAGAUAGCGUUGGGAUCGAAAUAGAUCGCGCUAUGGUUUCGUUACAUUCAUUUGGUUGGGUAUCGGCCGAGCGCUUCGGUACUAUCGUAGAAAAAGUGUAUUAUCAGUCGUAUGAUUAUUUGUCUGUAGUGGUCCUGCUGUUUCGUAUAUUCUAAAUUGGUUUCGUUGUAUUUGUCAAUUAAUAAGUUUAUUUGUUGGGUUUUCCUGGUUUUUUGGUUAAACUAUUUAACGUAGGUUUAGUUUGAUAUCGAUUAUUAGUAGUUACUGUAGUUAGUUUUUU